rnacentral:rRNA from 1 species
AUGUACACUGGCCACCCUAGUCAGGCCGGCAUGACCGUUGAAUGGGUGAUGAAGACCAAUGAAUUUGUGGAGGCAGCAUUUGCUAGUGGCAAGAGAAAAAGUUGGUGCCCCUGCUUGAAGUGCAAGAACGAUAUAGAACAGUCGAAGAAGACGAUGGGUAAACACCUACAUAAGCACGGGUUUAAGACUGGGUAUACUCGGUGGACCUUUCAUGGCGAGCCUGAACGUAGCAGAGAGGAGGUGGUUCAUCGGCGCACCGAUGACAAUGGUACCGGGAUCGCUGACAUGGUAGCUGACUUCAACGAUGCACGUGAAGAGGGAUCAGAGGUAGAACCGGAGGAGUCCGCGAGGGCUUACCUAGAAAUGCUGAAUUCGUCACAACAACCUCUUCACGAGUACACGACACAGUGUCAGCUGGAUACCAUCGCACGAGCAAUGUCUCUGAAGUCCCAGUUCAACAUGAGCAGAGAUUGCUUUAAUUCGAUGAUGGACGCUUGGGGUAGCUCUCUCCCUGAAUGUCACAAAAUGGCUAAAAGUUGGUACGAAGCAAAGAAAAUCCUCCGUGCACUUAAGAUGCCCUAUGAGCAGAUACAUGCUUGUCCAAACAGAUGUCUCUUAUUUACAAAAGAGUAUGCCGACGACAAGUACUGUGCCAAGUGCAAAGCCUCUAGGUAUGUUGAGAGAGACCUCGGUGAUGGUGUGAAGAAGCAGAGCAAAGUCCCUGCAAAUGUUCUUCGGUAUCUUCCAAUCUUGCCAUGA